rnacentral:rRNA from 1 species
GAUGAACGCUAGCGACAGGCUUAACACAUGCAAGUCGAGGGGCAGCACAGGGUAGCAAUACUUGGGUGGCGACCGGCGCACGGGUGAGUAACACGUAUCCAACCUGCCCUUUACUCGGGGAUAGCCUUUCGAAAGAAAGAUUAAUACCCGAUAGCAUAAUGAUUCCGCAUGGUUUCAUUAUUAAAGGAUUCCGGUAAAGGAUGGGGAUGCGUUCCAUUAGGUUGUUGGUGAGGUAACGGCCCACCAAGCCUUCGAUGGAUAGGGGUUCUGAGAGGAAGGUCCCCCACAUUGGAACUGAGACACGGUCCAAACUCCUACGGGAGGCAGCAGUGAGGAAUAUUGGUCAAUGGACGAGAGUCUGAACCAGCCAAGUAGCGUGCAGGAUGACGGCCCUAUGGGUUGUAAACUGCUUUUAUAAGGGAAUAAAGUGAGUCUCGUGAGACUUUUUGCAUGUACCUUAUGAAUAAGGACCGGCUAAUUCCGUG